AUAGUUUCCAGGUGUGACGCUCCGGUUGGGUAAAGUGGGCGGGGUAUAUAAGCGGCCGCUGUGCCCAGUCAGACAUGUGUCUUCCUCAUCAUCCACUGUGUGGCCCGCGUCUCUUGGGUUCCGGCGGAAGAAAAGGCAACAUAUCGCCAGUGUGGUGCAUGCUGUUUUGAUUCCCUGGUGGUGAAACGCUAUUGUGCUGCUCUCCUCUGCUUCCUCGUUCAGCGAGUGUGUGUGUGCGUUUUUGCCUGGAUUGACAGGUUUCCCCAUAUUCGAACCAUUGCUGCUCUUUUGGAUCCCGGAUUGUGCACGUCAUCAGUUGAACUCGGACUGUGGUGGCGCCUGCACGCCUUAAUUGAAGCGGUGUUUGGGGUGUGGCAUCGGCGCGCCGAGCUCGCCUCCUGCUGUGGCGUGACCAGAGCCACACCGGAUCUUAAUCUUCAACUUGGAUUUUCUAUUUUUUUCUUUAUUUAGUUUCCAGCCCUUUAGUUCCUUUAGAUAAUUGUUUAUUUAUUUGGGCGGAUAUUGUUUUUCUUUUGUUGUAUUAAGUAUAAGGUUGUUGUAUUUGGUUAACUGUUUUUCUGUUGUUUGCAGUUGCUGAGGCCCGGUGGCGGUGCUGGUGUGGUGACGGUGUCUCCCUCUUUUUUGUGCCGUGAUUCCUGAGUUUUGGUUGUCUCACUGCGUCUGGUGCUUUUACGGUUUUUUUGUUUGCUGUGUUUGGUGGAUGCCGUCCCUAUAGUGGCCCCUUCUGCCGGUGACCUCAGCUACUAUAGUUUUUUUUCUGUUUUUCCUUAGUUUUUUUGUUGUAAAGAACUGG